AUUUUUGUACCGAAACCAGAUAUCUGCAAUACCAAACAAUGUGUUUAAAGAAUUGCCAAAUUUAGAGACACUGUACAUCUUUAGCAAUAACAUAACUACAUUAAACAAAGACAUGUUCCUGGGACUUCCAAAAUUAAAGACGCUGUCAGUGGAAAGGAAUCCUCUGCACUGUGACUGCAUCUUAGCCGAUUUUGUCAGAUUUUCCAAAUAAAGGAACUUAACAUUGAAGAAUGACAUAGAACCGAAAUGUUCAACUCCGAGUAAUCUGACAGGAGUAUUGUUACGGGAUCUCUCCUCAGAGGACAUGAAUUGUGACGUCACUACAGCAACAACACCAGUGCGAGAAACGUCUGGUAAAAUGAUUAUUUUUAUUCAAUAAAAAACACUGAAUUGUCUGAACUUAAAAUCACUCCUAGGCAUUAUCUAUGUUUAGAGGCGAAAAGCGAAAAAAAACUUAUGCAUUAUUUAAACGCCUACAUCUCACCUACUUAACUUAUCUUUAUUUGUUAAUACGUUUAUUUUUUAUGUAUGAAUGAUUAUCUACAGAAGUAGGAGCUAAACUAAGCUUCAUAUUCAUUCUGCAAGGUAAGAUUGCUCUUGCUGUUACCAAGCAGGG